UCCUCCCUCUUUCUUCGUGCUUAACACAUGCAAGUCGAACGGAAAGGCCCUGCUUUUGUGGGGUGCUCGAGUGGCGAACGGGUGAGUAACACGUGAGUAACCUGCCCUCGACUUUGGGAUAUCUUCAGGAAACUGGGGCUAAUACCGGAUAGGAGCUCCUGCUGCAUGGUGGGGGUUGGAAAGUUUCGGCGGUUGGGGAUGGACUCGCGGCUUAUCAGCUUGUUGGUGGGGUAGUGGCUUACCAAGGCUUUGACGGGUAGCCGGCCUGAGAGGGUGACCGGCCACAUUGGGACUGAGAUACGGCCCAGACUCCUACGGGAGGCAGCAGUGGGGAAUAUUGCACAAUGGGCGGAAGCCUGAUGCAGCAACGCCGCGUGCGGGAUGACGGCCUUCGGGUUGUAAACCGCUUUCGCCUGUGACGAAGCGUGAGUGACGGUAAUGGGUAAAGAAGCACCGGCUAACUACGUG
rnacentral:rRNA from 1 species